rnacentral:rRNA from 1 species
GAUGAACGCUGGCGGCGUGCCUAAUACAUGCAAGUCGAGCGAACAGACGAGGAGCUUGCUCCUCUGGCGUUAGCGGCGGACGGGUGAGUAACACGUGGAUAACCUACCUAUAAGACUGGGAUAACUUCGGGAAACCGGAGCUAAUACCGGAUAAUAUAUUGAACCGCAUGGUUCAAUAGUGAAAGACGGUUUUGCUGUAACUUAUAGAUGGAUCCGCGCCGCAUUAGCUAGUUGGUAAGGUAACGGCUUACCAAGGCAACGAUGCGUAGCCGACCUGAGAGGGUGAUCGGCCACACUGGAACUGAGACACGGUCCAGACUCCUACGGGAGGCAGCAGUAGGGAAUCUUCCGCAAUGGGCGAAAGCCUGACGGAGCAACGCCGCGUGAGUGAUGAAGGUCUUCGGAUCGUAAAACUCUGUUAUUAGGGAAGAACAAAUGUGUAAGUAACUAUGCACGUCUUGACGGUACCUAAUCAGAAAGCCACGGCUAACUACGUG